GACGAACGCUGGCGGCGUGCCUAAUACAUGCAAGUAGGACGCAGUUGCGAACGGGUGAGUAACGCGUAGGUAACUACCUAUUAGUGGGGGAUAACUAUUGGACACGAUAGCUAAUACCGCAUACUAGUAGAUGGACCUGCGUUGUAUUAGCUAGUAGGUAGGGUAAUGGCCUACCUAGGCAACGCUACAUAGCCGACCUGAAAGGGUGAGAGGGCACACGGGGACGGAGAAACGGCCCAGAAUCCGACGGGAGGCAGCAGUAGGGAAUCUGCGGCAAUGGGGGGAACCCGGACCGAGCAACGCCGCGAGAGUGAAGAAGGUUUUCGGAUCGUAAAGAUCUGUUGUUAAGGAAGCGGUACUUAAACAGAAAGGGACGGCUAACUACGUGCCAGCAGCCGCGGUAAUAC
rnacentral:rRNA from 1 species